rnacentral:rRNA from 1 species
UACGUAGGGGGCAAGCGUUGUCCGGAUUUAUUGGGCGUAAAGAGCUCGUAGGCGGUGUGUCGCGUCGGUCGUGAAAACUUGGGGCUUAACCCUGAGCUUGCGGUUGAUACGGGCAUCACUGGAGUUCGGCAGGGGAGACUGGAAUUCCUGGUGUAGCGGUGGAAUGCGCAGAUAUCAGGAGGAACACCGGUGGCGAAAGGGCGGGGUCUCCUGGGGCCAUUACUGACGCUGGAGGAGCGAAAGCGUGGGGAGCGAACAGG